GGAGCCCGGUGGCGGACAUGCCGCUCGCCAAUCUGGUCAGGUCCGGAAGGAAGCAGCCAUAACGAAUCCGGUUUGGGUUGCCGCCGGGCUCCCAC
rnacentral:SRP_RNA from 1 species